UACAGAGGUCUCAAGCGUUGUUCGGAUUCAUUGGGCGUAAAGGGUGCGUAGGCGGCGCGGUAAGUCGGGUGUGAAAUCUUGGAGCUUAACUCCGAAACUGCAUUCGAUACUGCCGUGCUUGAGGACUGGAGAGGAGACUGGAAUUUACGGUGUAGCAGUGAAAUGCGUAGAGAUCGUAAGGAAGACCAGUGGCGAAGGCGGGUCUCUGGACAGUUCCUGACACUGAGGCACGAAGGCCAGGGGGAGCAAACGGGG
rnacentral:rRNA from 1 species